UUGCAGGUGUCUUUGGAUUCGCUCUGGGCAUGGUAGUUUUGUCAGAUUAUGAUCACACACGGCUUGGAUGGUCAUUUUAUCUCUCAGUUGCUAUGAAUUCAAUUAUACUUUUUGUGGAUACAAUGACGAUACUCAUUGGCAUAAUACAAUGUAUUUGUGAGAACAGGGACUAUAGUCCACUGAACUAGAAGCAGAUAAUCGUUAAUAAGAUAUGAAAAGUACUUUCAGUCUUUGCUUGGUUGAUGAAUCUGUGUAGUUCUAUGAGCAAUUGUUUUUAACGCAAGCUUUAAUUUUUAUUGUGCCUAUUUACGAAAAAAUGUGCAUAUGGCUACUUAUAUACAUGUAUUUAUGACCUUUUUACACCUUGUGUCACAUUUGAAUUGGUUGCUCCUACUGUUAUUUACAAUGAUUGAUCAAACAUUCAAUAUGUAUAAGCGUGUAAAGUGAGCUCUACAGACAAAAUGUAUAAAGACUUUUAUUUAGGGCAUAAAAUUUAAUCAAAAUGCCUCUUAAACAAGUUUAAAUUUUCUUAAUGGAUGUCAAGAUUUCUAGAUGAUGAUGAUUAAAUAUUAUAAAGCACUCUGAACUUUAAACCAAAACUUAUACAUGUACUGCAAAAUCAAUCAAAAACGCCAAACAGUUGUUAUUUACAUGUAGAUUUUUUUUAUAUCAAUUCCCUUCGACAAAUAGAUCAUCGAUAGGACCAAAGUCAACCUAAAGAAAAAGAAUUAUCCUCAUAAGUUGUGUGAGUAUUUGUCAUAAAAGAAUCUAAAAUUCAAAGCCUCAAUAUAGUUAAAUAAAAUUGUUAUUUAACGAAUCAGAAAUUGUUCUGAGAUAUUUAUCCUCGUGAUAUUCUAUUCUCUCUUCACGUGAGAUUUGUAAUAUAACACGCAAGGUUAAUUGUUUGAUGUAAACAUUUUUAGAAUUAGUAACAUUCUAGAAUAUUGCUCUUAUUUCUGGCAGAAGUGUUUUUUAUUUCAUUUUAUUUUUGGUUGCUUUCAAAAUAAUUUUGAAAAGAAUUACUUUUGUUCUUUACACAGACAAGGAAAAUUUAACCGUGUCAUUUAAUUUGCAUUAAUAAACGUACUUUAGGAUUUUGUCACGCUGAUCUGUAUUUCUAUAAUUAUGUCUUGUACACAAAGAGAAAAAUUGUCCACUAGAUUACUAAGCCAUUCAUAUGAAAGAUAUUGUAUGUGAAGUUUAUUUUCUUGAAUGUAAAUAAAAACUAGAUUAU